UCCCUGGUGGCUCAGACGGUAAAGCGUCUGCCUACAAUGCGGGAGACCCGGGUUCGAUCCCUGGGUCAGGGAA
rnacentral:tRNA from 1 species